rnacentral:tRNA from 1 species
UGGGGUGCACUUAGAGUUUUGGUCUCUAGAGGGUAGGUUCGAGUCCUGUUUUUUUAGGAG